UCCGGGGCCUCCGUCUCCCGCAGCCAUUCCUCUGACCCCAGUUACCCCUUGGAUGCCGGUGGGCUUGCGCUGCCCUCUCACCCCUCUCUCAGGACGCCGCGAAGCCGGUGCAGAGCUGCGGGCGAAGUUCGCAACGUGCCAAACCGAGAGCAAACUCCACGGAGAUUCCUGGCUCGGAAGGCCCGCGGUCGGGAAUUUCCUGAGGGACAGCCUGCCUGAAUUUCCCUCAGGGUGUAGAAACCAGACUAUGGUUUGAAAAUACAGGGUUCUAGAUCGUGUGGGACAUGCAACAGAUCACUGCCUUCUAUGGGCCUCGGUUUCCCCAUCUGUCAGCCGAGGUCUUCACACUGGGACACCCACCCUUGGAACGCAGCCACCAUGUUGUGAGGAAGCCCAAGCCACAUGGGAGAGGUGACAUGAAGUGGUCUGGCCGAUAUCUCCAGCUAGGCUCUCAGGCAACAGCUGGCCUCAAUCACCAGCUAGGUGGUGAACUGAGACAAUUCCGGCCCCCAGCCUUUGAGUCUUUCAGCCAACGUUCCAGAUAUGGAGCAGAGACAAGCCAACCCCACUGUGCCCUGUCUGAAUCUCUCUCCCACAGAAAUUGGGAGAUAAGAAGUGAUCGUUGUUGUUUUUAAGCCGAUUAGUCCAUUAAAUACAAAGAAAAGAUUGCAGUGAAACUGGACAGGAUGAUCGUUGUGUUGGUAAGCAAUACUGACUCAUGGCGCCCUGCGUCUGGGGUGACCAGGAUGAAGACAAGCU